UUACGGUCAUAUCUCGUUGAAAAACCGGUUCUCGUACAAACGAUCACCGAAGUUAAACAACGUAGAGCCUGGUCAGUAACAAGGUGAGUGACCACUUUGGAAUACGAGGCGCUGUAAG